AAAAGAUUCCAAGAGCGAACGGCGGAUGCCUUGGCUUCCGAGAUCGAUGAAGGACGUGGUAAGCUGCGAAAAGUCGCGGGUAUUUGCAAACAAGACUUGAUCCGCGAAUCUCCGAAUGGGGCAACCCGUCAGGCUGAAGGCCUGUCACCGGCGCAUAUGCCGGGGUUUACGCAGGGAACUGAAACAUCUUAGUACCUGCAGGAAAAGAAAGAAAUUCUCGAUUCCCUUAGUAGUGGCGAGCGAAGAGGGAAUAGCCCAAACCGCUGAGCUUCCGGGCUCGGCGGGGUUGUAGGAGCACUUAUUAUAUUCACAGCAAACGAACCGGAACACAUCUGGAAAGUGUGACCGUAGCGGGUGAUAGUCCCUUACGGGCAAGUUUGUUAUGGAUGAAGUGCCACCUGAGUAGGUCGGGACACGUGAAAUCCUGUCCGAAUCUGCGGCGACCAUACCGCAAGGCUAAAUACAAUCGGAAGACCGAUAGUGUACCAGUACCGUGAGGGAAAGGUGGGAAGCACCCCGAACAGGGGAGUGAAACAGAACCUGAAACCGUUCGUUUACAAGCGGUCGGAGCUGCCGAAAGGCGGCGACGGCGUGCCUUUUGCAUAAUGAGCCUACGAGUUGGUUGUGUCCGGCGAGGUUAAGCUGUUCAGCAGCGUGAGCCGUAGCGGAAGCGAGUCUUAAAUGGGCGCUUAGUCGGAUGCAUCAGACGCGAAACCUAGUGAUCUACCCAUGUCCAGGGUGAAGGCGCCGUAACAGGCGCUGGAGGCCCGAACCAUUAUCCGUUGAAAAGGGUUUGGAUGAGGUGUGGGUAGGAGUGAAAGGCCAAUCAAACUGGGAGAUAGCUCGUACUCCCCGAAAUGUCUUUAGGGACAGCCUCUGUAUAUUUAUCCUGUGUGAGGUAGAGCUACUGACAGGGAAAGAGGGCUUCAUCGCCUAUCGAUCUCUCCCAAACUCCGAAUGCGCACAGGUUAUUGACAGGGAGUGAGUCGUCGGGUGCUAAUAUCCGUCGGCGAAAGGGUAAGAGCCCAGCCCUACAGCUAAGGCCCCCAAGCGCAGUUUAAGUUGAUAUAUAACGAAGUGACACCGCCUUGACAGCCAGGAUGUUAGCUUGGAAGCAGCUAUUCAUUCAAAGAGUGCGUAACAGCUCACUGGUCGAGUGGUGUUGCAUGGAUGAUAAUCGGGCAUGAAGACUGCCGCCGAAGCUUAGGACUCGAUAUUUAUGAUAUCGAGUGGUAGGGGAGCAUUCUGCUCAGCGUCGAAGGUAUGCCGCGAGGCAUUCUGGAGCGUGCAGAAGAGAAAAUGUAGGCAUAAGUAACGAUAAUGGGGGUCAUAAACCCCCACACCGAAAGCCUAAGGUUUCCUGAGCAACGUUAAACGGCUCAGGGUCAGUCGGGUGCUAAGCGGUAGCCGAUAGGCGUACGCGAUGCUUAACCGGUUAAUAUUCCGGUACCGGCUCUACGGGUGCAAUCGAGACCGAGUAGUGACACUGCCGCGAACUGACGGAACAGUUCGUUGAAGGGCAAAGCGCGAGCGAAGCCCGACAGUACCGCAACGCUUCGGCCGAGCGGACAGUGCAGGUAAUCAGACUUGCGAGAAAAUCGGUUGCGCGUCAAGAGUAGCGCCGCCCGUACCUUAAACCGACACAGGUAGGCGAGGAGAGAAUCCUCAGGUGCUCGAGUGAAUCAUGGCUAAGGAACUCGGCAAACUGACCCCGUAACUUCGGGAUAAGGGGUCCCACGGCGACGUGGGCGCAGCGAAACGGCCCAGGCGACUGUUUAUCAAAAACACAUGGCUACGCUAAAUCGCAAGAUGACAUAUGUGGCCUGACACCUGCCCGGUGACGGAAGGUUAAGAGGGGGGCUUAGCACGCCAGCAAUGAUGUGCGAAGGUCUGAAUCGAAGCCCCGUUAAACGGCGGCCGUAACUAUAACGGUCCUAAGGUAGCGAAAUUCCUUGUCGGGU
rnacentral:rRNA from 1 species